rnacentral:tRNA from 1 species
ACCACAGUGGUCUAGCGGUUAGAACGCUGGCCUUGUAAUCCUGGGGUCUCGGGUUCGAUUCCCGGCGGUG